rnacentral:lncRNA from 1 species
AGCGCAAGACUCCAUCUCGAAAAAAAAUAAAAAAUUAGCUGGGCUUGGUGGCAUGCGCCUGUAACCCCAGCUGCUCAGGAGGCUGAGGCAUGAGAAUCGUUUGAACCCAGGACGUGGAGGUUGCAGUGAGCCAAGAUCACACCACUGCACUUCACCCUGGGCAAGAGUGAGACUCCGUCUCAAAAAAAAUAAAGAGAUGAGAAACUGUGGUUGCCAUCUGCACCUUAAGAGGUCCCAUAUUCUAUUACUUGAUUUUUCUCCCUAAAAGAAGUAUCUUGAGUUGCGCGUUCCAAUGCACAGUCAGGGAGCUGGGGAGCCCUCUUGUGGACAUUCUUGUUCAUUGUUAAUGUCAGGAUUUAACCUGAGAAGCAGAACCAAUAAGGAGAGGUAAAGUUAGCCAAGCAUGUCGGCGUAGCUAUGGUCCCAGCUACUCAGCAGGCUGAGGCCAGAGGAUUGCUUGAGCCCCAGAGGUCAAGGCUGCCAUAAGCCAAAAUCGCACCACUGCACUCCAGUCUGGGUGACACAGUGAGAGCCUUUCUCAAAAGUAAUAACUGGCCUCUGAUUGUGGGGCCUGGAUAAGCACGUCUGAAAUUCACAGGGCUGCCAGUGGGAAGGGACAAUGGCCAGCAGCAGGCUGGAACUCCAGGGGCUUGGGUGAAGCUGUCAUUUCACAGGUGAAAUUUCUGUCUUGAAACCUCGGUUUUUAAGACCACCUCACUAGCUGGGUGCAGUGGCUUGCACCUGUAAUCUCAGCACUUUAGGAAGCUGAGGUGGGUGGAUCACCUGAGGUCAGGAGUUUGUGACCAGCCUGGCCCAGAUGGCGAAACCCAGUCUCUACUAAAAAUACCAAAAAAUUAGCCGGGAGUGGUGGCGUGUGCCUGUGGUCAUAGCUACUCAGGAGGCUGAGACAGGAGAAUUGCUUGAACCCAGGAGGUGAAGGUUGCAGUGAGCUGAGAUCACGCCACUGCACUCCAGCCUGGGUGAUGGAGGAAGACUCUCAAAAAACAAAAAAACACCUCGCUUAUGGAGUUGGGCAGAUCUAGAGUAAUUAGGAUAAUUCCUUAACGUCUACUUAUUAGUAGCUUUAAUUACCGCUGCAAAAUAGCUUCACAGUAAUACCUAGAUUAGUAUUUGAUUGAAUAACUGGGGAAUCGUCAAGUUGAUAUAUCAAAGCCAUCAUGGUUCCCCCCUUGUCAGCUCUACACCCAUAUGCAUUUCCUUAAACUAUACUUAAUCUCCAGAUAAUGACAGUAACAAAGUCAUUCUCCUGCCUAACUUAAUGCAAUCAUCCCACAUAAAACCCCAGAUACUAACCCUUUCCAGGUUCUCAUGACCAGUGUCUGAGAACUGAUCCUGGAGGGAAGUAAAUCAUGGAACUUGGGUCUGACAGUUACUGGCAUGUUCUACAUCUUGUUUGUCUCAACUCGAAGGCAGCAAGUUAGCAUGAGUAUUUUUCAGUUUGGUUUAAUGUCAACAUUUCCUGACUGUGAGGUGAACCUCAUUUAUCACUCUUGAGGUUAGAUGGCAAACACAGGUAGAUAGGAUCCCUUCCAGUCCACACCACCCUGAAAGGAAGCUGCUGGGCUGGGGUUGGAGCCAUUUCCAUUGCAGGCUGGACUGAGCGGUUUACCACAUUGACCCUGGAGACACAGAGGCCCCAAAUAAGGAAAGCCAACUGUGACUAAACUUCCUGACCCAGCAGAAACAAAGCACAUUCCUGACAUUGACUGGCAGAUGUGAGCCCAGCAGAAGUGCAGACCUCUGGGUCCUUUCCUGGGGAGCCUGUCUGAAGCAGGACAGGC